rnacentral:rRNA from 1 species
UAGGGAAUCUUGCGCAAUGGGGGCAACCCUGACGCAGCGAUGCCACGUGAGUGAGGAAGGCCUUAGGGUUGUAAAGCUCUGUCCUUGGGGAAAAAGGCUCUACUGUUAAUAGUAGUAGAGAUUGAUGGUACUCAAGAAGAAAGCACCGGCUAACUUCGUGCCAGCAGCCGCGGUAAUACGAAGGGUGCAAGCGUUGUUCGGAUUUAUUGGGCGUAAAGCGCGCGCAGGCGGAUCCUUAAGUCAGAUGUGAAAUCUCAGGGCCUAACCCUGAAACUGCGUCUGAAACUGGGGAUCUAGAAUUUUGGAGAGGCAAGGGGAAUUUCACAUGUAGGGGUAAAAUCCGUAGAGAUGUGAAGGAACACCGGAAGCGAAGGCGCCUUGCUGGACGAAUAUUGACGCU